AUGGUAAGGACCACCACAACAAGGGGAAACCGGGAGGUGAUGCCGGUGAUACAAAUGGCGCUCGUCGAUGAACGCCAGUGCUGCAAUGCACCAACGCGUCCAUGGCCGCCGUACUCGAGCGCCGGUGGCGGAGCUGCAAUGGAGCGCUCGACACCGGCGGCGGAGCUACAAUGGAGCUGCUCGGCUCAGGCGGCGGAGCUCCAAUGGAGCGCUCGGCGUAGGCGGCGGAGCUCCAAUGGAGCGCUCGACGCCGGCGGCAGAGCUGCAAUGGAGCCGCUCGGCGCAGGCAGCGGAGCUGCAAUGGAGCCGCUCGGCGUAGGCGGCGGAGCUUCAAUGGAGCGCUCGACGCCGGCGAUGGAGCUGCAAUGGAGCAGCUCGGCGCAGGUGGCGGAGCUGCAAUGA
rnacentral:rRNA from 1 species